GAACUGCAGUUCUAGUUCGCACGUGGCUCCGGAGAAGGCGCGGUGUACCUGAGACCUCUUCGGCUCCUGAAGCGUCUGCGGCCAGGAUGAAGAGGCCGAAAUUAAAGAAAGCAAGUAAACGUAUGACCUGCCAUAAGCGGUAUAAAAUCCAAAAAAAGGUCCGAGAACAUCAUCGAAAAUUAAGGAAGGAAGCUAAAAAACGGGGCCACAAAAAGCCUAGGAAGGACCCAGGAAUUCCAAAUAGUGCUCCCUUUAAAGAGGCUCUUCUCCGAGAAGCUGAGCUCCGCAAACAGCAGCUUGAAGAAUUAAAACAGCAGCAGAAACUUGAUAGGCAAAAAGAGCAAGAAAAGAAAAGAAAACUUGAAGUUAGCCCUGAUGAUGAGCAGUCUAAUGUGGAAACUUAGGAGGAAUCUGACGAACCCCAAAAAAAGAAAGCUAAAGCAGGCAAACAGAAUCCAAAGAAGUCACAUUGUCAGGAACUUAAAAAGGUGAUUGAAGCUUCAGACAUUGUGUUAGAAGUUUUGGAUGCCAGAGAUCCUCUUGGUUGCAGGUGUCCACAAAUAGAAGAAGCUGUUAUCCAAAGUGGAUGUAAAAAGCUGGUACUUGUAUUAAAUAAGUCAGAUUUAGUACCAAAGGAGAAUUUGGAGAACUGGCUAAAUUAUUUGAAUAAAGAAUUGUCGACCAUCGUGUUCAAAGCCUCAACAAACUUAAAGAAAAGAAAGACAUUCAAGGUCCUGAGUUCAAUUCCCAGCAACCACAUGGUGGCUCACAACCAUCUGUAAUGGGUUCUGAUGCCCUCUUCUGUUGUGUCUGAAGACAGCUACAGUGUACUCAUGUACAUUAAAGAAGAAGGAGGAGGAGGAGACAAGAGAAGCAGCUCUCAAAAUUUCAUAUACACUGUGUGUAUGGAGGAGGAAGAGGAGGGCGAGGGAGGAGGAGG